rnacentral:rRNA from 1 species
GACGAACGCUGGCGGCGUGCUUAACACAUGCAAGUCGAGCGGUAAGGCCCUUUCGGGGGUACACGAGCGGCGAACGGGUGAGUAACACGUGGGUGACCUGCCCUCAGCUCUGGGGAUAAGCCUGGGAAACCGGGUCUAAUACUGGAUAUGACUCCAUGACGCAUGUUGUGGGGUGGAAAGCCUUGUGCGGCUGAGGAUGGGCCCGCGGCCUAUCAGCUUGUUGGUGGGGUGAUGGCCUACCAAGGCGACGACGGGUAGCCGGCCUGAGAGGGCGACCGGCCACACUGGGACUGAGACACGGCCCAGACUCCUACGGGAGGCAGCAGUGGGGAAUCUUGCGCAAUGGGCGAAAGACCUGACGCAGCGACGCCGCGUGAGGG